AGAGUUUGAUCCUGGCUCAGAUUGAACGCUGGCGGCAUGCCUUACACAUGCAAGUCGAACGGCAGCACGAGAGCUUGCUCUUGGUGGCGAGUGGCGAACGGGUGAGUAAUAUAUCGGAACGUACCCUAGAGUGGGGGAUAACGUAGCGAAAGUUACGCUAAUACCGCAUACGAUCUACGGAUGAAAGUGGGGGAUCGCAAGACCUCAUGCUCAUGGAGCGGCCGAUAUCUGAUUAGCUAGUUGGUGGGGUAAAAGCUCACCAAGGCGACGAUCAGUAGCUGGUCUGAGAGGACGACCAGCCACACUGGAACUGAGACACGGUCCAGACUCCUACGGGAGGCAGCAGUGGGGAAUUUUGGACAAUGGGCGCAAGCCUGAUCCAGCAAUGCCGCGUGAGUGAAGAAGGCCUUCGGGUUGUAAAGCUCUUUUGUCAGGGAAGAAACGGUGGACUCUAAUACAGAUCACUAAUGACGGUACCUGAAGAAUAAGCACCGGCUAACUACGUGCCAGCAGCCGCGGUAAUACGUAGGGUGCAAGCGUUAAUCGGAAUUACUGGGCGUAAAGCGUGCGCAGGCGGUUGUGCAAGACAGAUGUGAAAUCCCCGGGCUCAACCUGGGAAUUGCAUUUGUGACUGCACGGCUAGAGUGUGUCAGAGGGGGGUAGAAUUCCACGUGUAGCAGUGAAAUGCGUAGAGAUGUGGAGGAAUACCGAUGGCGAAGGCAGCCCCCUGGGAUAACACUGACGCUCAUGCACGAAAGCGUGGGGAGCAAACAGGAUUAGAUACCCUGGUAGUCCACGCCCUAAACGAUGUCUACUAGUUGUCGGGUCUUAAUUGACUUGGUAACGCAGCUAACGCGUGAAGUAGACCGCCUGGGGAGUACGGUCGCAAGAUUAAAACUCAAAGGAAUUGACGGGGACCCGCACAAGCGGUGGAUGAUGUGGAUUAAUUCGAUGCAACGCGAAAAACCUUACCUACCCUUGACAUGUCUGGAAUCCUUGAGAGAUCAGGGAGUGCUCGAAAGAGAAUCAGAACACAGGUGCUGCAUGGCUGUCGUCAGCUCGUGUCGUGAGAUGUUGGGUUAAGUCCCGCAACGAGCGCAACCCUUGUCAUUAGUUGCUACGAAAGGGCACUCUAAUGAGACUGCCGGUGACAAACCGGAGGAAGGUGGGGAUGACGUCAAGUCCUCAUGGCCCUUAUGGGUAGGGCUUCACACGUCAUACAAUGGUACAUACAGAGGACCGCCAACCCGCGAGGGGGAGCUAAUCCCAGAAAGUGUAUCGUAGUCCGGAUUGUAGUCUGCAACUCGACUACAUGAAGUUGGAAUCGCUAGUAAUCGCGGAUCAGCAUGUCGCGGUGAAUACGUUCCCGGGUCUUGUACACACCGCCCGUCACACCAUGGGAGCGGGUUUCACCAGAAGUGGGUAGCCUAACCGCAAGGAGGGCGCUCACCACGGUGGGAUUCGUGACUGGGGUGAAGUCGUAACAAGGUA
rnacentral:rRNA from 1 species